rnacentral:rRNA from 1 species
AACGAACGCUGGCGGCAUGCCUAACACAUGCAAGUCGAACGAGACCUUCGGGUCUAGUGGCGCACGGGUGCGUCACGCGUGGGAACCUUCCCUUAGGUUCGGAAUAACUCCCCGAAAGGGGUGCUAAUACCGGAUAAUGUCUUCGGACCAAAGAUUUAUCGCCUUUGGAUGGUCCCGCGUUGGAUUAGCUAGUUGUUAGGGUAAAAGCCUACCAAGGCGAGGAUCCAUAGCUGGUUUGAGAGGAUGAUCAGCCACACUGGGACUGAGACCCGGCCCAGAAUCCUACGGGAGGGAGCAAUGGGGAAUAUUGGACAAUGGGCGAAAGCCUGAACCAGCAAUGACGCGUGAGUGAUGAAGGCCUUAGGGUUGUAAAGCUCUUUUAACCGGGAUGAUAAUGACAGUACCGGGAGAAUAAGCUCCGGCUAACUCCGUG